CGAUUAAGACUUCCUUCGGGAAGUGCAUAAAGUGGCGCACGGGUGAGUAACACGUAAGUAAUCUACCCUCGAGUGGGGAAUAACGUUCGGAAACGAACGCUAAUACCGCAUAACGCAGCGGCACCGCAAGGUGACAGUUGUUAAAGGAGUAAUUCGCUUGAGGAGGAGCUUGCGGCAGAUUAGCUAGUUGGUAAGGUAACGGCUUACCAAGGCUACGAUCUGUAUCCGGUCUAAGAGGACGGUCGGACACACUGACACUGAAUAACGGGUCAGACUCCUACGGGAGGCAGCAGUCGGGAAUUUUGGGCAAUGGGCGAAAGCCUGACCCAGCAACGCCGCGUGAAGGAUGAAGUAUUUCGGUAUGUAAACUUCGAAAGAAUGGGAAGAAUAAAUGACGGUACCAUUUAUAAGCUCCGGCUAACUACGUGCCAGCAGCCGCGGUAAUACGUAGGGAGCAAGCGUUGUUCGGAUUUACUGGGCGUAAAGGGCGCGUAGGCGGCGCGGUAAGUCACUUGUGAAAUCUCUGAGCUUAACUCAGAACGGCCAAGUGAUACUGCAGUGCUAGAGUGCAGAAGGGGCAAUCGGAAUUCUUGGUGUAGCGGUGAAAUGCGUAGAUAUCAAGAGGAACACCUGAGGUGAAGACGGGUUGCUGGGCUGACACUGACGCUGAGGCGCGAAAGCCAGGGGAGCAAACGGGAUUAGAUACCCCGGUAGUCCUGGCCCUAAACGAUGAAUACUUGGUGUCUGGAGUUCCAAGGCUCCGGGUGCCGUCGCUAACGUUUUAAGUAUUCCGCC
rnacentral:rRNA from 1 species